UUUUAAUGAGAGUUUGAUCCUGGCUCAGGACGAACGCUGGCGGCGUGCCUAAUACAUGCAAGUAGAACGCUGAAGGAGGAGCUUGCUUCUCUGGAUGAGUUGCGAACGGGUGAGUAACGCGUAGGUAACCUGCCUGGUAGCGGGGGAUAACUAUUGGAAACGAUAGCUAAUACCGCAUAAGAGUGGAUGUUGCAUGACAUUUGCUUAAAAGGUGCACUUGCA
rnacentral:rRNA from 1 species